AUUAGGGUUCAUCUCUAGGGUUCAUGAUCUAUGACACAAGGAAUCUAGGUAAGGAUUUUCUAUGAUUCUGAAACUAGGAUAGACACUUGUAUGAUUAGCCAACUCUCGUCACCCUAAUCAUUUAAUCACUUAUCCUUGGCAAUUAACUCUCGCUCUCAUGCUAGAAUAAGAUCAUGCAUUUUAGCUCAAAAUCCAUCUUGGCUUACGUAUCCUCCGUAGGUAGCUUUCGUCUCCUACGACGGUGACGUCCAUGAGAUCCAGUUCAGGCAACCUAGAUACAACACUCUCGUGGCUUAGAUUUAACCUAGGAUCUGACACUGGUUAGCUACUCCAGCG
rnacentral:lncRNA from 1 species